ACUUGCUGGUGCUUCUGCCAGUUUGUAGUACCUAAAUAGGUAGUAGAAAAGACUUUUGUUUCAUAAAAAAUCGUGGAAAAUAUAAAAUGGCUUCAGCAAUGGAUGUAGACGAUGAAGAAGUUGAGUUGCCCACGUCCAGCAGUUCUAAAGGCGAAAAGAAAAGGUUUGAAGUUAAAAAGUGGAAUGCCGUUGCCCUUUGGGCUUGGGAUAUUGUCGUUGAUAAUUGUGCGAUUUGCCGUAACCACAUAAUAGCUC